rnacentral:rRNA from 1 species
CUUCGGUGGGGAUUAGUGGCGAACGGGUGAGUAACACGUGGGCAAUCUGCCCUUCACUCUGGGACAAGCCCUGGAAACGGGGUCUAAUACCGGAUACUGACCCUCGCAGGCAUCUGCGAGGUUCGAAAGCUCCGGCGGUGAAGGAUGAGCCCGCGGCCUAUCAGCUUGUUGGUGAGGUAAUGGCUCACCAAGGCGACGACGGGUAGCCGGCCUGAGAGGGCGACCGGCCACACUGGGACUGAGACACGGCCCAGACUCCUACGGGAGGCAGCAGUGGGGAAUAUUGCACAAUGGGCGAAAGCCUGAUGCAGCGACGCCGCGUGAGGGAUGACGGCCUUCGGGUUGUAAACCUCUUUCAGCAGGGAAGAAGCGAAAGUGACGGUACCUGCAGAAGAAGCGCCGGCUAACUACGUGCCAGCAGCCGCGGUAAUACGUAGGGCGCAAGCGUUGUCCGGAAUUAUUGGGCGUAAAGAGCUCGUAGGCGGCUUGUCACGUCGGUUGUGAAAGCCCGGGGCUUAACCCCGGGUCUGCAGUCGAUACGGGCAGGCUAGAGUUCGGUAGGGGAGAUCGGAAUUCCUGGUGUAGCGGUGAAAUGCGCAGAUAUCAGGAGGAACACCGGUGGCGAAGGCGGAUCUCUGGGCCGAUACUGACGCUGAGGAGC